rnacentral:sRNA from 1 species
UUCGACUCGAGCGAAGCGAGAGAACGUUGCGCCAGCAACGGCCCGCAGGGCGAGCCACGAAGUGGCGAGUAAUCCUCUAUCACCGACCA